rnacentral:rRNA from 1 species
CCCUUAGAUGUUCUGGGCCGCACGCGCGCUACACUGAUGCAUUCAACGAGUUUCUUCCUGGUCCGAGAGGAAUGGGUAACCUUUUGAAAGUGCAUCGUGAUAGGGAUAGACUAUUGCAAUUAUUGGUCUUCAACGAGGAAUUCCUAGUAGACGUAGUUCAUCAGACUGCAUCGAUUACGUCCCUGCCCUUUGUACACACCGCCCGUCGCUCCUACCGAUUGAAUGCUCAGGUAAGCCAUUCGGACUUUCAUCAUGCUGGUUUCCAGUUUUGAUGAAGGAAAGUCUUGCGAACCUUAUCAUUUAGAGGAAGGAGAAGUCGCAACA